GAGGGUGGCCCGUGGGCCCUGCCAAGGGAGUCCAUCCCUCCCUGUGCCAGGUUACUUGUUCCAGUGAUUUCUGCUGUUGGCUUAGGCAGCAAACCUCUCUGAGAAGCCUGUGCAUAAAUUCGAUGUGUCAUUUCCCAUGAUUGGAACUUCUGACUGGAGUUGCACUAAGUAGGCAUAUCCUUGCUUCGAUGACUGUCACCUCAGCUGGCAGUGACAGUCCUGGCAGCUAGAGAGAUGUCCACCUGGCUCCAAGCUGAGAUGAAUGUCAAGAGGGAAGCCCUCGUCAUACCACUUGGACAUCCAGACACUCGGGGUGUUCUUCCGUCCCCUCUCCUCCAGAGGGCGGCGUUCUUGUAAGAGCCAUUUCCCACCCAGGGUCAACCCUUGACUUUUGAGCUAUAACCACAAUAGCUCUGCAUCCUCGACUUCACACGUCCCAUUCCGGCCACACCUCCCAGCCUCCCAGUCCUCUGACUUCAGCACCCAGCCCCUCCUGCAAUUCACCUGACCGGAGUCCUCCAAACCUGGGGCUUCCACAUUCUUGCUCCUAGUGACGCCUGUGUCCUUUCAUCUCUCUCCCAGCUUAG
rnacentral:lncRNA from 1 species